CGCCUUUUGAUCUAUUAAUAUAAAAGGUCCUGCCUGCCCAGUGACACCUGUUCAACGGCCGCGGUAUUAUGACCGUGCAAAGGUAGCGUAAUCACUUGUCCUUUAAAUAAAGACCAGUAUGAACGGCAAGACGAAAGCCUAACUGUCUCUCCAUAUUAGUCAAUGAAAUUGAUUUUUCCGUGCAGAAGCGGAAAUAUUAUUAUAAGACGAGAAGACCCUGUGGAGCUUUAAGUCAAAGCUAGCUAUUUAAUAUUGUAUAACUAAAGACUUUAGGUUGGGGCGACCACGAGGUAUAAUAAAACCCUCAAGAUAAAACCAUAGAAGGACACUUCAAAUAAACAAUAUAUUGAUAUAUUGACCCAAAAAUUGAUCAACGAACCAAGUUACCCCAGGGAUAACAGCGCAAUCCACUCAAAGAGUCCUUAUCGACGAGCGGGUUUACGACCUCGAUGUUGGAUCAGGACCCCCAAAUAAUGUAACAAUUAUUAAAGGUUCGUUUGUUCAACGAUUAAAGUCCU
rnacentral:rRNA from 1 species